CCCUAUGGGGUGCAGCAGUCGCGAGAACAUUGCAAUACACGAAAGUGUGACAAGGCUAUCCCGAGUGCCAUCCGCUGAGGAAGGCUUUUACCUAGUAUAAAUAGCUGGGAGAAUAAGGAGAGGGCAAGUCUGGUGUCAGCCGCCGCGGUAAUACCAGCUCUCCGAGUAGUGUGGAUGUUUAUUGGGCCUAAAGCAUCCGUAGCUUGCUAAGCAAGUCCCCUGUUAAAUCCACCGAUUCAAUCGGUGGAUUGCGGGGGAUACUGUUUGGCUAGGGGACGGGAGAGGCCGACGGUAUUCCCGGGGUAGGGGUGAAAUCCUAUAAUCCCGGGAAGACCACCAGUGGCGAAGGCUGUCGGCUAGAACGCGCCCGACGGUGAGGGAUGAAAGCUGGGGGAGCGAACCGGAUUAGAUACCCGGGUAGUCCCAGCUGUAAACGAUGCAGGCUAGGUGUUUGGGCGGCCACGAGCCGCCCUAGUGCCGCAGGGAAGCUGUUAAGCCUGCCGCCUGGGGAGUACGGCCGCAAGGCUGAAACUUAAAGGAAUUGGCGGGGGAGCACCACAAGGGGUGAAGGCUGCGGUUUAAUUGGAUUCAACGCCGGAA
rnacentral:rRNA from 1 species